GGAGCUGUGCCCGAAUGCCCAAGGACCACUUUGAUAGAGUGAAUUAUGGAGGUAAUAAAUCCCCCCAGCUCCU
rnacentral:tRNA from 1 species